rnacentral:misc_RNA from 1 species
GUUUUUUCAUCUCCUGUGGUAUGUCAACGGAGUAGGUAAUUUCGUUGAAUGUUAGAGAAUGUGGCUCAAAUGGAAGUAUCAUUCCUUUUUUCUUUUUAUGAAUGGACCUGGAGGACUCACUUCUCAUAAUUUCAUCUCUACUAUCAGUGUUUGUUUGGCGACUCGAGCUACUUUUAGGUUUCGUUGGAAUGGUUCCUCCCUUUCUACCAUGUUCAUGAUCUGG